rnacentral:rRNA from 1 species
GACGAAGGAUGCAACCGUUAUCCGGAUUCAUUGGGUUUAAAGGGAGCGUAGGUGGCCUUAUAAGUCAGUGGUGAAAUCUCUGGGCUUAACCCAGAAAUUGCCAUUGAUACUGUAGGGCUUGAGUAUAGUUGCCGUUGGCGGAAUAUGACAUGUAGUGGUGAAAUACAUAGAGAUGUCAUAGAACACCGAUUGCGAAGGCAGCUAACGAAACUAUAACUGACACUGAGGCUCGAAAGUGCGGGGAUCAAACAGG